CUUUUACAAUGAAGAGUUUGAUCCUGGCUCAGGAUGAACGCUAGCUACAGGCUUAACACAUGCAAGUCGAGGGGCAGCAUUUUAGUUUGCUUGCAAACUAAAGAUGGCGACCGGCGCACGGGUGAGUAACACGUAUCCAACCUGCCGAUAACUCGGGGAUAGCCUUUCGAAAGAAAGAUUAAUAUCCGAUAGUAUAUUUUCUCCGCAUGGCGAGAAUAUUAAAGAAUUUCGGUUAUCGAUGGGGAUGCGUUCCAUUAGUUUGUUGGCGGGGUAACGGCCCACCAAGACUACGAUGGAUAGGGGUUCUGAGAGGAAGGUCCCCCACAUUGGAACUGAGACACGGUCCAAACUCCUACGGGAGGCAGCAGUGAGGAAUAUUGGUCAAUGGACGAGAGUCUGAACCAGCCAAGUAGCGUGAAGGAUGACUGCCCUAUGGGUUGUAAACUUCUUUUAUAUGGGAAUAAAGUAUUCCACGUGUGGGAUUUUGUAUGUACCAUAUGAAUAAGGAUCGGCUAACUCCGUGCCAGCAGCCGCGGUAAUACGGAGGAUCCGAGCGUUAUCCGGAUUUAUUGGGUUUAAAGGGAGCGUAGGUGGAUUGUUAAGUCAGUUGUGAAAGUUUGCGGCUCAACCGUAAAAUUGCAGUUGAAACUGGCAGUCUUGAGUACAGUAGAGGUGGGCGGAAUUCGUGGUGUAGCGGUGAAAUGCUUAGAUAUCACGAAGAACUCCGAUUGCGAAGGCAGCUCACUAGACUGCAACUGACACUGAUGCUCGAAAGUGUGGGUAUCAAACAGGAUUAGAUACCCUGGUAGUCCACACAGUAAACGAUGAAUACUCGCUGUUUGCGAUAUACAGUAAGCGGCCAAGCGAAAGCAUUAAGUAUUCCACCUGGGGAGUACGCCGGCAACGGUGAAACUCAAAGGAAUUGACGGGGGCCCGCACAAGCGGAGGAACAUGUGGUUUAAUUCGAUGAUACGCGAGGAACCUUACCCGGGCUUAAAUUGCAUUUGAAUAAUCUGGAAACAGGUUAGCCGCAAGGCAAAUGUGAAGGUGCUGCAUGGUUGUCGUCAGCUCGUGCCGUGAGGUGUCGGCUUAAGUGCCAUAACGAGCGCAACCCUUAUCUUUAGUUACUAACAGGUCAUGCUGAGGACUCUAGAGAGACUGCCGUCGUAAGAUGUGAGGAAGGUGGGGAUGACGUCAAAUCAGCACGGCCCUUACGUCCGGGGCUACACACGUGUUACAAUGGGGGGUACAGAAGGCAGCUACCUGGCGACAGGAUGCUAAUCCCAAAAACCUCUCUCAGUUCGGAUCGAAGUCUGCAACCCGACUUCGUGAAGCUGGAUUCGCUAGUAAUCGCGCAUCAGCCAUGGCGCGGUGAAUACGUUCCCGGGCCUUGUACACACCGCCCGUCAAGCCAUGAAAGCCGGGGGUACCUGAAGUACGUAACCGCAAGGAGCGUCCUAGGGUAAAACUGGUAAUUGGGGCUAAGUCGUAACAAGGUAGCCGUACCGGAAGGUGCGGCUGGAACACCUCCUUU
rnacentral:rRNA from 2 species